CCUACGGGUGGCUGCAGUGGGGAAUAUUGCACAAUGGGGGAAACCCUGAUGCAGCGACGCCGCGUGAGUGAAGAAGUAUUUCGGUAUGUAAAGCUCUAUCAGCAGGGAAGAAACCCACCCUCCGGGGUGGCUGACGGUACCUGACUAAGAAGCCCCGGCUAACUACGUGCCAGCAGCCGCGGUAAUACGUAGGGGGCAAGCGUUAUCCGGAUUUACUGGGUGUAAAGUGAGCGUAGGUGGCAAGGCAAGUCAGAUGUGAAAACCCGGGGCCCAACCCCGGGAGUGCAUUUGAAACUGGCUGGCUAGAGUGCAGGAGAGGUAAGUGGAAUUCCUAGUGUAGCGGUGAAAUGCAUAGAUAUUAGGAGGAACACCAGUGGCGAAGGCGGCUUACCGGCGCUCAACUGACGCUCAUGCACGAAAGUGUGGGGAGCGAACAUGAUUAGAUACCCCGGUAGUC
rnacentral:rRNA from 1 species